UACAGAGGUGGCAAGCGUUGUUCGGAAUUACUGGGCGUAAAGGGCGCGUAGGCGGCUUGGUCAGUCCCGUGUGAAAUCCCUCGGCUCAACUGAGGAACUGCACGGGAAACUGCCUGGCUUGAGUUCGGGAGAGGGAAGCGGAAUUCCGGGUGUAGCGGUGAAAUGCGUAGAUAUCCGGAGGAACACCGGUGGCGAAGGCGGCUUCCUGGACCGACACUGGCGCUGAGGCGCGAAAGCUAGGGAGCAAACGGG
rnacentral:rRNA from 1 species